UAAAGGCAAGGACAAGAAGGCAAUUAGCAGCAGGAAGAAUUUAUGAAAGGUCAGUUGUGCUUAACCAACUCAACAACCUUCUACAACAUUGAAGUUCAACAAAGGGAAGUCCUGCCCUUGUGGAUGAACAAGCCCAGACAGCAAUACAUGCUGCAGCCAGUGGGCUGGAAAACAGCUACACAAAGAAGGAUCCGGGGGUCACGUGCUUAACAAAAAGUUGUCAACUCACCAGCAACUCACCUGCACAGCAAAGACAGCAAUUGACAUCCUGAGUUGCACCAGAAAAACCAGCAGCAGCAGCUGGAAGAAGGUGAACCUUUCCCUCUGCUCAGCACUGGUAGAGUUAAGAUACAUCUGGAGUGCUGGGUCCGGGUCUGAGCUUCCCAAGCACAAAACAGACGCGAACAUUCCAGAGUGCCUCCAGCAAAGGACCAUAAAGGGACUGGAAAAUUUGUCAUAUGAUGAUAAACUGAGAGAGCUGGGAGUGUCUAGUCUGGAGAAGAGAAGGCUCUUGAAGGAUCUUACUGAUUUCUAGAAAUACUUGGUGGGAAACAAAGAAGUGCAUGGACCUAGGCUCUUCUCAGUGACAGGACAAGAGGCAAUGGGCACAAACUGGAUGACAAGAAAUUCCAUCUGAACUCUCCAGAAGGUUUUGCUAUUCAGUUUUUGGUUUUGCCCUUUUUUUUUUUUUCUUUUUUCCCCUAUGGGAGUAGUCAAUCACCUAAACAGGUUGCCCAGAGAAAUUCUGGCAUCUCAGCCCUUGGAGAUAAUUAAAACCAACUACACAUGGUCCUGGGCAGCCUUCUCUACUUGACUCUGCUGUGAUCUGGGACAUAGGUGAUUUUAGUCAUGAUGAACCAGAUGGCCCCUUCCAACCUCAAGGAUUCUGUGAUGCUCUGGUUCAGGUCUACUCAUCCUUGUCUCCAGCUCUGGUACCAACUUCUGCUGCCCCAGAUGAACCCUGCCUCUGAUCCAUCACUUGUUGAGGGAGCUUGCUACCAGAGAGCUGCCCUGUCCUCUUCACUUUUCUGCUGUAGGACUGUCCCCUGGACAAGGAGGGCACUGGUGCAGCAGGUCUGGAUGCCUGGCUCCUACUGCCUUGUGCAGCAGACCCAUUCCUGCUGCUCCCUGGACACCGUCUGUAUUCUGGAGAGACCUCAUGCACCUCUCUCCAGCAAAUGCAAGAAGAAUUUCAUGUAUCUGCAGGCAUGGGAUCUGCAACAUUUCUGUGACAACUGAAGCACUUUUCAUGACUGAUACACAUUGUUUAACAGCAUAAGGAGAAAAUCACUAAGUUUAGAGUCAGAACCUGGUGAAGCAUCAAACACUUACCUAGAGUUCAAAUUCAUUUGACAGCAUACAUGUUUUUGUAGAUUUGCAUUUGCAUUCUAGUCAUGAAGACACAACUAUAUGAGACUUAAUACUACAGAGUUUUGAUUUACGACAAGCCAAAUGCUUAACUUCUUUCCCAUGAAAUAUCCUUUGUCCUCUCUUCUGUAUCACAGCAUAAAGAACAUUUACUGAGAAGAACCUGAGAGUGUGGAGUAUGAUUUAUUUUAUGAAUUGUAUAAGGCAUCUACUGGACAAUCCAGCAACUUGCUCUUAACCUUCACUCUUCUUAGGAAAAAGUCUGGUUAUGAUACGAGAUAAUUCUUAGCUGCAAGUCUUUCCCUUACAAGGAAUCUCUACAUUGUUUAGACUCUGGUAACCAUAUUUCCUAAAUGUACUCUGAUUGUGAAGAAUCCUUGGGAUGCCCUAAUUAAGUGGCUCUCAGAUAAUCUGCUUCAAAAAUGGUUAUGUUAUUUUUUAAAAACUGUUCCAUAAAUCAAAUCACAACUCUAAAAAAAUUCUGAAAAAAAUUCUCAUUAUCAUGACUUCUCUUAACAGACUUGAAGUCAUUGAUUGAAACUGCUGGUCCUUCCUCAAAAGGUGUACGCUCACAAGACUAGGGAAAUCAUCACCAAACACAGUACAUGGGUCAAAGCACUGAGUGUUGCUUCUGAUCAAAGAUGAAAACCAGUAGACACUGCUAUUACUGAGGCAGUCCUCUACUUACUGACUUAAUACAAUCCUGUUGCCUUACCUGUGGUUCCUUGUUGUGUUGGCUAGGAUCCUUUUCAUAACUCUCUGCGUAGAUCCGCAGAGUAGCUCUCACAUGACUAGAAGCACUCAUUCUGAAGAUGAGCCUGGAAGCAUCUGAAAAAAUAAUCCGCAGCCCCUAGGAAAGGAGAAGGAACAUCAUAUAUGUAAGGUCACAGUACCUUAACAAAUUACGAGCCACUGCUCCAAAAUAAAAGUGAAAGGAAGAGUCAUCUGAAUGCCAUUCUUCUUUCCCCACAACUUUGGACAACACACUCUGUCCUAGGGUGACUGUUAUCCCCAUUCAUGUGUGUGUAAUUUAUGCUGGAUAUCAUGUUCUGUGCCUUUAAGACUGGCAGAGUGAGAGUUUUGUUUUGGGCCUCUUAUCAGCCACUCGGCAGGACAUACAGAUAGUACCAGUAUAUAGCGCUGCUUUUUGCUUUCGCUCUUGCUUCUGCUUCACUUCUGCUUCGCUUGCUCUUGCCUUUUUUCCCCCCUUCUCAUUAGUUAAUUUAGCUAAACAGUCCAAAUUCCUUUCUGGACUGUUCCCCCCCGCUCCAUUUGGACCUGCUGACUGCUCCGGACUGGGAUUCAGAACACCGAGAGAGAGUUUACAUCUUGUGGCUGCAGCAGCUGCCCCAGUGCCGGAGGGACUGAUAACAGCGACCAUCCCCAGGAGAGGCUUUUCUGAAUUUGCCAUCUUUUUCAGAGCAGUGGAAGAGUGGUGUCAUCCGGUAUUGUUCAUUGUGUGUGCUGGGGGGUGCUGUGCCUGUCAAAUAAACAGGUUCUUUCCA